AUUGAACGCUGGCGGCAGGCCUAACACAUGCAAGUCGAGCGGUAGCACAGAGAGCUUGCUCUCGGGUGACGAGCGGCGGACGGGCGAGUAAUGUCUGGGAAACUGCCUGAUGGAGGGGGAUAACUACUGGAAACGGUAGCUAAUACCGCAUAACGUCGCAAGACCAAAGAGGGGGACCUUCGGGCCUCUUGCCAUCAGAUGUGCCCAGAUGGGAUUAGCUAGUAGGUGGGGUAACGGCUCACCUAGGCGACGAUCCCUAGCUGGUCUGAGAGGAUGACCAGCCACACUGGACCUGAGACACGGUCCAGACUCCUACGGGAGGCAGCAGUGGGGAAUAUUGCACAAUGGGCGCAAGCCUGAUGCAGCCAUGCCGCGUGUAUGAAGAAGGCCUUCGGGUUGUAAAGUACUUUCAGCGGGGAGGAAGGCGGUGAGGUUAAUAACCUUGCCGAUUGACGUUACCCGCAGAAGAAGCACCGGCUAACUCCGUGCCAGCAGCCGCCGUAA
rnacentral:rRNA from 1 species